rnacentral:rRNA from 1 species
UACGGGGGGGGGCAAGCGUUGUCCGGAUUUACUGGGCGUAAAGGGCGCGUAGGCGGCCACCGCAAGUCAGUUGUGAAAGCUCUGGGCUUAACCCAGAAAGGUCAACUGAUACUGCGGGGCUAGAGUGCAGAAGGGGCAACUGGAAUUCUCGGUGUAGCGGUGAAAUGCGUAGAUAUCAGGAGGAACACCGGUGGCGAAGGCGGGUCUCUGGGCCGUAACUGACGCUGAGGAGCGAAAGCGUGGGGAGCGAACAGG